CUUCCCAAAUUUUAAUCCCCAUCAUCCAUUUUACUUUAGCUUUUAAAGGAAUCUUUCUAAGCAACAAAUAGAAAACUUUGUUCUUCCGUUAACCUCUCGAGCUCUCUUUCACAGAUCUACCCUUGCUCACUUUCCUCUCCUUCACAAAUCCUAACACCUUCACCAUUUCUUGAGAAUCCUGAACCCUAACAUCUCCUUUCCUCUUUCUUUCCUCUUCUUCAUGAACCCCUCUUUCUCUCUCGAACCAAAACACACAAUCCAAUCCCUAACGCUUUUGUUGUAAAAAAUGCAACAAAAAUGGCUUCGUUGAUCUCCAUGCUUUUGGUCCUCGAACAAACAGCAUGAAGAUAGCUUCCACUGAGCAUUGGCUUUUGAACUGAGUUGACUGUGAUACAUCCCCUUAAGUUUAUUUCUUUCUUUCUUCAAAAUGCCAAACCACCAAUCUUGUCUUCUGAGGCUAUAUAAGCAAACUGAACCAAUUAUUUGGUAACCCAUUUGUAUUAUUAAAUUUAGAUUAGAAUUUGCUAGGUUUUUAACACAUAUCCUAUUUUGUAUGGCAAUUAUUGAAAAUGAGUUUUUUUGUACCAUAUAUUCAAUAAUUUUAAUUGCAUGCCAUCCAUAGUUGUAUGCUGCAAGUUGAUAUUAUUUGCAUUGUUUACACCAAUUGGGCAUAUUAUUCUAUUUUUAGGCCAAUGACGUGCCAUUAAGUUUUUUGAAAAUUUUCCCUAUGUGGUGAAGGUGGAACAUUUGCUCUUUAUUAGUUACUUUGUCGAUAUGCAAAAAUAAAAACUAUACCUAACCAACACUGAACUGGUGAGCAGCUAACAUAUAGUCGUUCUACUUUUCAUAGGCAAUAUUCACUUUGUGAAUGUUCUAACAAUUUAAUUGACCUGAUCUAGUUUUUCUUUUUUUUUUUAAAAGACUUUGAAUUGUGGUUUGCUUUAAACAAUUGCAUAUUUGUGUUUACUCUAACAUGCAAUAAAAUAUUUUAUCUAAUUUCUAAUAUAUUUUUUACAAAUAAUCUAAAUUAUCUAUUGGUUUGGUUGUUUGUUUGUUUGUGUUUUUAUGGAAUUUGGAUUAUGAUCCAGAAAAUGUGUAUUUGUUUGGAAUUUGGAUUAGCUAGAGGCUUAAUUUUUUACUCUAGCAUGGAAUUUGUGUUUGUUUGUUUGUAUUAGGUCUCUGGAAAAAAAAAAAAAAAAAAUAGGAGGUUUGGUUUUUUUGGUUUGUGUUUUUAUGGAAUUAUUUAACCCUUUCAAUUCUUAUAAAUCUUUUUUUUUUUUUAAACAGCAAACUGUCACAUAAUGAAAUUUAUAUAUGCUCAUUUCUUUAUAUACAAUUUGUAAACAAAACAUGUACAGUUCUAUUUACUUUAAUUUCUGUAUUUCUCUUCUUCUUUUUUGUUUUGAAACUUGUUGUUUUGUGUGGGUACAGUCUAUCACUAUACAAUGGCCUUCUUCUUCAGGUACUUGCUUCCUUUUUUUUCUCAAUUUUUGUGCUUGAUUUUUUAAUUAUUUCUGCUAUAUUGUUCUUCUUCCAAUUCUCUUGACUUGUCAUCGUAAAAAAAAGUCUUAUGGAUUUUAUUUUUUUGGUUUGCAUGCCAUUGUUCUAUUGAUCAUUUUUUUAUUUAAUUGAUCUGAUUUGGUAGUUUGUUUUUUGCAGGGACUUUGGACUAUGAUUUGAGUUUUGUGCAUGUUUUAACAGUUUAAUUGAUCUAAUUUGGUGGUCUUUUUUUUUUUAAGAACUUUGAAUUGUGGUUCAGUUUUUGUGCAUGUUUUAUGUGAUUGUUACUCCUCUACAAUUAUUUUCAUGGAUACGAGCUAAUGGAAUUCAUAGAUUCUGCAUAUAGUCGAUUAUUUCUUUUAGUCUAUUUAGAAAACUAUACAUUUUCAUAUUUAAGUUUCAUUUGAUCA